UGUGUGUUACCUUUUAUCUGCUCUAAUAGUGCAUGAUAAUGAUCUCUUUUACUGGUUCUUAUAAUAUUUACUAGUUUAUUUUUAUAGGUCUUAUAUUUUUUUCUGCUUCUUCAGUUCUGAAUUUUAAAAACAAUUUAUAUAAAUUGUUUUUCUUUUUACAUGCGUUUUCUAUGCCUUUCGUUAUCCAUGGCUUACUUGGGUCUUUAUACUUUUUGGAGACUUUAGUUAAUGGAAAAUGUUUAUCAUAUAAGGAGAUUAUGGUAGACUGAAAUACUUCAAACGCUGUAUUUGGGUCUUCGUUUGAGUAGACCUCGGUCCAGUUUUGUUUUUCUAGGUCUUGCUUAAAAGCAUCGAUGGAGCGUUGGGUUCUUAGUCUUAUUUCUGUUAUGUGAGUUGUUGACUUAG